UACGUAGGGGGCAAGCGUUAUCCGGAAUUACUGGGUGUAAAGGGAGAGUAGGCGGCAAGGUAAGCGAUAUGUGAAAGCCUCAGGCUUAACCUAAGGAUUGCAUAACGAACUAUCUAGCUAGAGUACAGGAGAGGAAAGCGGAAUUCCUAGUGUAGCGGUGAAAUGCGUAGAUAUUAGGAAGAACACCAGUGGCGAAGGCGGCUUUCUGGACUGAAACUGACGCUGAGGCUCGAAAGCGUGGGGAGCGAACAGG
rnacentral:rRNA from 1 species